UACAGAGGUCCCAAGCGUUGUUCGGAUUCAUUGGGCGUAAAGGGUGCGUAGGUGGCGCCGUAAGUGGGGUGUGAAAUUUCGGAGCUUAACUCCGAAACUGCAUUCCAUACUGCGGUGCUUGAGGACUGGAGAGGAGACUGGAAUUUACGGUGUAGCAGUGAAAUGCGUAGAGAUCGUAAGGAAGACCGGUGGCGAAGGCGGCAUCCUGGACCAACACUGACACUGAGGAGCGAAAGCCAGGGGAGCAAACGGG
rnacentral:rRNA from 1 species